GACGGACGCUGGCGGCGUGCUUAACACAUGCAAGUCGAACGCUGAAGCUCAGCUUUUGUUGGGUGGAUGAGUGGCGAACGGGUGAGUAACACGUGAGUAACCUGCCCCCUUCUUUGGGAUAACGCCCGGAAACGGGUGCUAAUACUGGAUAUUCACUGGUCUUCGCAUGGGGGUUGGUGGAAAGGGUUUUUCUGGUGGGGGAUGGGCUCGCGGCCUAUCAGCUUGUUGGUGGGGUGAUGGCCUACCAAGGCUUUGACGGGUAGCCGGCCUGAGAGGGUGACCGGUCACAUUGGGACUGAGAUACGGCCCAGACUCCUACGGGAGGCAGCAGUGGGGAAUAUUGCACAAUGGGCGCAAGCCUGAUGCAGCGACGCCGCGUGAGGGAUGGAGGCCUUCGGGUUGUGAACCUCUUUCGCUCAUGGUCAAGCCGCAACAAUGGUUGUGGUGAGGGUAGUGGGUAAAGAAGCGCCGGCUAACUACGUG
rnacentral:rRNA from 1 species